rnacentral:lncRNA from 1 species
AUAUCGGAAGAGUUAUAGAUAGCGGGAAGAGUUAUAGAGCUCCUUCUGGGAUCUGUAAGUCCCCAGAUAUCGGAAGGGACACCAGCCUUUACAGUAAAGACAGCCAGAUUCCAGCUUUCGUAUGAAGCUACCAGCUGCCUUGGAAAGGACCCACAGAUAAGAGGCUGCUACUUGCAACUGCUUUGCGAGGGUCUGGUUGUCUCUUCCUCGAGCUUCUGCAAUUCCCUGAGGAGUCAACCCCACCCCACGUUCCUGCUGGGAGCUGAGCUGCCUAGUCAGCUGCCGGAACACCUGUUCCAACCGCAGUGCUUGUGGGGACAGUUAAGCCUUGUCAGGUUCUGGCUCUUGCUGGCGGCUGGAGACGUGUGGCCACUCUCACUCCUUGGGGCCUGCUCUGCCCUCACCGUGCUGACAGUGGCCUUCUGAAGUGCCAGCUGAUGUUCUGCUCUUCAGACCAGCCGCACUUGGCUCUCUCCUGGCUCCCCUGCUGUUCCUGGCCACUCCUGAAUGACUCCAUGCUUCAAUAUGCACCCGCCACAGCCUUCACCAGCCACGGCUCUGGGGCAAGGGCAGGAGGAUCUGGGAGGUCAUUCAGGAUGUGGA